CUUGGGUAAAAAUAAUAUAAUAUAGUUUUGGUAUGGAUAUUCUCUUUUAUUGUCUUAAAAAAUAUAUUUGUAAAAGUGUACAGAAUGUAUUUUUCUUUUUUGGCCUCCGUGUUCAUUCAUCGAAAAAAGUGGACAUCGUUUUUAGAUUUUUCUCUUAGAAACUUUCAAGGAGCUCUACUCGUAUUCUAUUUUAAGAAACAAUCACAUUUUCUUAUUUGGACGGAUUGUAUUUUCAUUUUUCGGCCUCCGUAUUCAUCAUUAGAAAAAAUGGAUAUCGUUUUUGAAUGCCUCUUAGUCAAAACUUUCAAGAAGCUCUACUCAUUCGUGCAUUUCGGUAUAGUUGACGUCAGAUCUUGUCAGCGCUUUGGCAGGGCUGGCGUUGAUAUGGAACUCUUGGUGAUUCACAUAUUUUACGGAAGUGUCAAUUAAUGUAUGAUGUGAGAGUGAAUUAGAAUUCAUGAGUGUAAAAUAAGUCAAAUUAACGUAAAAAUUGUAUUUUCCGCAAUUCAUCUUAAGACUUGCUAUGUGUGGCUGAAGCCAUUUGAAUAAUAAUUGACUAAUAAGAACACUUAAAAUUUCGUGAGCUUAAAACAUGAGUUAGAAACUUUUAUAUGGUGUAUUAGUAAAAUGGGUUUUAGCUACAAUCCUCUGGUAGAUGCUUUAAGAUAACAAAAACAAAUAAAUAAUGAAUAAUCAUUCCCUACAUGUAUUUGCAGUGUGUGUAUAUUAAUUUAGCAGACAAAGAGUAAUAUUAAUGACUAUUUAUCUUAUAGUAGCAUAAAUUUCAAAAAAAUAGAGACAAUAAUCUUAGUGUUUCUUAUACACAAAGAAUAUUAUAUCCUAUUAUACAAGUAACUGUGUCCACUAAGGGAGGAAGACAUAAUAUUGAAAGUAUUACGUUAUGUAGUUCAAAGUCAAAUGUUACCUUGAUUUAAGCUUUAUCCUCUGAUUAUAGGACGAAUACAAAGGAACAACAAGACUUUACUUCAUUUAGUUGUUUGAUUUUAACACAAAUGCUCUAACAUCUGCCUCCAGCGAAGUAAUGCUAUGUUUUGACUGACUCUUAUAACACAAGCAAUAUUCUAGUUCUAAUGACUCUUGAAAUACAUUAUAUAUUCUAUUUCAAUAGUCUCUAAUGAAUGCAGUUAUGCUCUGCUCAUCUGCCUCUGAUACGAUUGAUAAAGCAGGAAAUCAAUUAUCUAAAAGAAGUCAACGCUCUGAUGCAAUUCAAUGUUCCAAAGAAGACAAAGCAAUUGCACAUCCUCUAAUCAACAUCUUGAAUCUACUACUUGUUUGAAAGUCUUCAAGACAAGAUCUGAUCUUAUUAUCCUCUACUUUGUUGACCUCAUAAUCAAGAUACAUAAAAUCGAUCACGAAGAUAUAUAUGGAUAAAUAUUAAAGACUGAUCUGCCUUAAAUGGUGAUUGAAGAUUUCCAACGGUAAUAUUCUCAACAAACAUUAUUUUCCAAUUUAAGAAAAACAUACUCAGACUAUUAGAACUAUGAGAGAGAAAAAUAUAUGUGUUAAGAAGAAAAUUUGAUAAAUGCAAGAACGCAUCAAAAGAAAAUAAUGUAUGAAAUAUCCUUUCAAUAGAGAGUUAUUAGAAUUUAUGUAAAUUAGUAAAAGUGUUCUCUCACAUUUGUAUUGAUAUAAGACUUGAUAUGUAACAUUCUCUCAAUGAGAAUUAGAAUCCUAAAAAUAAACUUUGUGACAAAUCAGACACAAACUAGAACUGAUUUAAAUCAACCUGAUAGUGGCAACAAUCUUCUCACCCGUAAGAGGUAUGUGAAAAGGUACCACGACUCUCAUGAAUCUCAACGGCAAGAUGCCAGAAAGUUGAAGAAAGAUUUGAUGAAGACAACUUGGAAAGGCUAGAGAAAAAUACUAAAAGGCUGAAAAGGAAGAGUAAAGAAUAUUUUUAUGCUAUUUAUGGAAAUAGUGGAUUAAGUUACGACUGUGCUGAAGCAAAAUCUCUUUGUAAAUGGAGAACUAGAUAUAGGAACAAUUUGUUGUGAACUAGUA